GAUGAACGCUGGCGGCGUGCCUAAUACAUGCAAGUCGAGCGAACGGACGAGAAGCUUGCUUCCCUGCUGUUAGCGGCGGACGGGUGAGUAACACGUGGAUAACCUACCUAUAAGACUGGGAUAACUUCGGGAAACCGGAGCUAAUACCGGCUAAUAUUUUGAACCGCAUGGUUCAAAAGUGAAAGACGGUCUUGCUGUCACUUAUAGGUGGAUCCGCGCUGCAUUAGCUAGUUGGUAAGGUAACGGCUUACCAAGGCAACGAUGCAUAGCCGACCUGAGAGGGUGAUCGGCCACACUGGAACUGAGACACGGUCCAGACUCCUACGGGAGGCAGCAGUAGGGAAUCUUCCGCAAUGGGCGAAAGCCUGACGGAGCAACGCCGCGUGAGUGAUGAAGGUCUUCGGAUCGUAAAACUCUGUUGUUAGGAAAGAACAUAUGUGUAAGUAACUGUGCACAUCUUGACGGUACCUAAAGAGAAAGCCACGGCUAACUACGUG
rnacentral:rRNA from 1 species